rnacentral:tRNA from 1 species
ACCUGGGUGGCUCAGUCGGUUGAGCAUCCGACUUCGGCUCAGGUCAUGAUCUCACAGUUCGUGGGUUCGAGCCCCGCAUCAGGCU